GAUGAACGCUAGCGGCAGGCCUAAUACAUGCAAGUCGAGGGGCAGCACGGGUAGCAAUACCUGGUGGCGACCGGCGCACGGGUGCGUAACACGUAUACAAUCUGCCUUUAACAGGGGGAUAGCCCGGAGAAAUCCGGAUUAAUACCCCAUAAUAUAUUGAGUGGCAUCACUUGAUAUUGAAAGCUCCGGCGGUUAAAGAUGAGUAUGCGCCUGAUUAGUUAGUUGGUGAGGUAACGGCUCACCAAGACGACGAUCAGUAGGGGAUCUGAGAGGACUACCCCCCACACGGAUACUGAGACACGGAUCCGACUCCUACGGGAGGCAGCAGUAAGGAAUAUUGGACAAUGCCCGCAAGGGUGAUCCAGCCAUGCCGCGUGCAGGAAGACGGCCCUAUGGGUUGUAAACUGCUUUUACACCGGAGAAAACCCCUGCUUGUGAGCGGGGCUGAUAGUAUGGUGAGAAUAAGCAUCGGCUAACUUCGUGCCAGC
rnacentral:rRNA from 1 species